rnacentral:rRNA from 1 species
UCGGCAUACUGCUCAGUAACACGUGGAUAACCUGCCCUAUCGUCUGGAAUAACCUCGGGAAACUGAGAAUAAGGCCGGAUAGUUCACAAUGCCUGGAACGGUUUGUGAAUCAAGGUAGGAUGGGUCUGCGGCGUAUCAGGUUGUAGGGGGUGUAAAGGACCCCCUAGCCUUCGACGCGUACGGGUGUUGGGAGACAUAGCCCGGAGAUGGAUUCUGAGACACGAAUCCAGACCCUACGGGGUGCAGCAGGCGCGAAAACUUCACACUGCAGGAAACUGUGAUGAGGGAACUCCUAGUGCAUGCACUAUGUGUAUGUAGAUCCUACUCUUAACAAGUAGAGGGAAAGGGCUGGGAAAGACCGGUGCCAGCCGCCGCGGUAAUACCGGCAGCUCAAGUGGUCGUCGCUUUUAUUGGGCCUAAAACGUCCGUAGCCUGUUUGGUAAAUCUGUGGGUAAAUCAAUCCGCUCAACGGAUUGAAUUCUGCAGAGACUGCCAGACUAGGGACCGGGAGAGGUGUGGGGUACUCGAGGGGUAGGGGUAAAAUCCUGUCAUCCUUCGAGGACCACCAGUUGCGAAGGCGCCACACUGGAACGGAUCCGACGGUCAGGGACGAAGCCUAGGGGCACGAACCGGAUUAGAUACCCGGGUAGUCCUAGGUGUAAACGCUGUGAACUUGGUGUCGGGGGUCCGCAAGGGUCCCCGGUGCCGGAGUGAAGAUGUUAAGUUCACUGCCUGGGGAGUACGGUCGCAAGGCUGAAACUUAAAGGAAUUGGCGGGGGAGCACUGCAACGGGAGGAGCGUGCGGUUUAAUU